rnacentral:tRNA from 1 species
GCACAGGUAGCCAAGCGGUUGAAGGCGUCGGACUGCAAAUCCGAUAGGGAAACCUCACGCGAGUUCAAAUCUCGCCCUGUGCUCCA